UCAGCCCUGAGCUGAAGGCAGCGCUAAACUGCUGAGCCACCCAGGGAUCCCCAGCUUUAUUAAUAUUUUAGUUAGAUUUCCUUCUUGGAUAUACCUUUUUUUUUUUUAUCAAGUAGCUUAUAUUUGAGUGCUUACAGUGUUAUUAUCUAAAUUAACUUAUCAGGGAGAACACAAUAGCAUUAUAGUUUUAUAAGUGGAAUUAGUAGAGAAGGAACAACUGUGGAUACUGGCAUUUAAAGGAAGCAGCCAACCAUCCAAAGAGCUACUCUAAGCCUCGUGUUUAUGCAGUACUUUCUGUACCGGAACCAGGUCCUGCUUUGCCUAACUUCCCUCAUUAAUCCUCACAGCCCUUCUGUGAAUUAGGUGACUCUUACCCUUGGCCCCAUUGGAAAAUCCUGGGCUGCAAAGCACAAAAAGCAGCCUGUGGCUGCUGCAGCCAGCACGUGGGGACUGGCAAUUGCUUCGGCUGGCCAGUAGGGGCCAUACUGCACCUCUUCGCUCGCUCCCCCUGGGCACCUCCUCUCCAGUCAUUUGAAUUGGCUUUGGAUCAUUUGCUGCAGUUUGUUCUAAUAGAACAGGCACAAUGGUGUAAGAAUUUUAAAGUUUAAGCACCGAAGCCGUUGUGUAAUUGUGUGGCAUCAGUGUGGCUGGCAGCCCUGCAUUGAUGUGAUCCCCCUGUGUAAUUGCCCAUGCAAAUUCGAGCAAUCUGUAACGGACGCACGAACCCACAUUCGCCUGCAGAUUCUUCUCCCUCCAGAAAAUCUUCAAUAAUUCGAAGAACCUUUUGUCAUCUUUAAAAUGCUCCAUAGACAGGAUGGUCUCAGUAUCCUUCUCAUAUGGGCUAUAUUGACAGUCAAAAUUUAAAUCGUCAGUAUUCAGAUGCAUGCUUGCCUCUUCCAGUCAUUAAAUCACCCUUCUUCAGAGAGAGAAAGAUUAUUCCAGAGGCUUAGUGAAACUUUAAACAUUUUAUUAAAAACAAAGAUAUUUAGGUUUCUAAAAGCAGACUGUUUCAAACUCAUGAAUUAGUUGCUUGGGAAAUGGCCACGCAAUCUGUAAGGUAGUAUUCUUACAAUGAAACAUCAGCCUGUCAAAUAUGCACAAAGAGAGUCACUUUAAACAACUCAACUGAAGACAUAUUUCCCUUCUUUUGUGUCAAACAGUAAUAAUUAGGAAGCAAAUCCAGAGGGGAUCCUUUUUAGACUAUUGUAUAUCGAAAUAAAGUGGCAAAAGCAAUUUCCCCCCCUGGGAAUGAGACUUAACAAAACCUAGUCUCUCAUUUCUAAACUAUGCUGUUUCUUUCUUCUCCCUUCUCCCCACCCCUUUCUCUCUCUCUCUCAUUCAUCUAAAUGUGAUUUGAUCUAAAUCUAAAGAAAACACUGAGAUCCUAAUAAUAAUAUAUAUACACACAGAAAGUGAACACAAAGAUGAUAGCUUCGAAUAGCACAUUUUUGACACAGCAAAUACUUCAUUUACUUAACAUAUUUCUGGGCCAGUGUAUUCAUUCAACAACAUUGGAGAUAUAUAUAUAUAUAUAGAUAUAUAUAUAUAUGCUACACAGAUAAACUGAUCUUUAGCCUUGUUGAGAGAUGUGCUAAAUAUGCGAGAACGUUCAAAAUUAAAUCAGAGAAGAGGUAACCCCAAAUUACUAGCUGAGGAAAAAGGUGGUAACAAAUAGUGUAAGCAGGACACCAGGCACUGCUGAACUGUGUGCUCCUCAUGACGUUCCCUGGACAUGCUUCAUUUUGUUUCUGCCAUCUCUGUGUUUGAUUCUAUUACUGCUCACUUAGGAAAUUCUGGCCUGCUCGUGGCUAGGCUCACCCUUUACAUUUCCUGCUGCAUUUGAAUUUGGGGAGAUCUUUACAGCAAGCAGGAGAACAACUGUUUCAGAGACUUGCUCCGAAGCAGAUAAUGAAACCUCCCUGCACUGACACUGCCAGAGUUUUCAGGGUCCCGAAUUAGGUUUUGUUCUGUUGUUUAAUGAAUCCUCUGAAUUUUUAUUUUUUCCAGCCCAGACAUUUUUCUUUAGAUUUAAAUCUUCCCCCCAUGUGUUUAGAUUUUUGUCCUGCUUGAAGGAAGUUGUUUGACACUAUUUCUGGGGACGAGACUGUAUUUUAUCUUUCUGCAAUUCAUUAAGAGUCAGCAGGAGAAAUGGAUUUUAAAAUAAUUGUACGGCAAAGUAAAUUGAGCAGACUCUGUUUAAUGACCUAAGGUAAGUGGAUAAAGUAUGAUAAAUUUUGAUACCUGAAAAAAAGCAACUGAAUUCCUGUAGUGUUAAUAUUAGAUAAUGUUAUUAUGCUAACAAAAUUUUAAAGAUGAUUUCUAAUCCAACCCAAUGUGUAUGUAAAUAUAAAAUACCUAUAAAUGUAUAGACCACUCAGAUUUUAGAAAUAAACACAUACAAUUUUAAUUGCAUUUGACUCAUUUCAUAAAUUGACUUCUAAAUUAUAGUGACUGCCAUUUGUGGGAUAUCUAGAUGUGAGAUAAUCUAAAAUUGUCCUUUAUGAAGUAAAAGGGUGUAUUUAAAAAAAAUUGUCCUGAUGACCAUAUUUUUCAUGAUCACUAGAGGCAGGCUCAGAUCUAUCUGUAGUAAGGCUGUUUUAUAUUUAACCCAUAUAUGUAACUUUUUAUUCUGUCUUUAGAAGACGACCUCCUUUAGGUUUGGUCCUGUUUUAUUUAAGAAGAUUGGAAAACCCACGACCUGAAGGGUCCCAAGAGAACAGGUCCAGCUGGUGGCCAAGUCAGGGGGGAGCCCCCCUCUGCUCUGCAUUGUGUGGUGCCCUUUAUGGUCUGCACACUGUCCCUCUUGGCCAGGAUCGUGAGCCACACUGGGGGUUGUGUAUGUAUAAUCUACAUAUUGAUUAAUAAGAAAAUAAAUAGCAUGUCUGAAAAAAUCCAUCACACGGAGAAAGUAGGAUGAAGUCAUCAUUUCAGCCAUUAAUGACCAAGAGAGGAAGCAAACAUGAUCUGGUCAGUUGGAGGUUUUAUAAGAAGGCUCACUUUUCAAAUGCCUUCCUCCAGUAGGAAAUAAACAAUAAUAAGGACUGAGAAAAUGUUUACUGUAAAAACGCAGAGUAGUUGGAUAACCACACCUCAGAGUCUUGGAAAAUUAUGCAUUAUUUAGAAAAGGGAUUAAAAAUAUCUCAAACUUGCAAGUGUUCAACCUCUCACCCCUGGGGUUGCACAGGGAGGGCGCUGCUGUCCUUUUCCACUGCCUCAUGGUCUCUGAGGAACAGACCCAUGGCAUUAGUCAGCAGUUUCUGAAUUUUGACCCACAAUAGGAAAGAUACCUCGAGACAGGAAAAAUAGAUGGAGGCAAUUACAAACAGCUACUUGAUUGAUGGUUGACAUUGUCAGGGCUCCAGUGUAUGGCAGAUUGCGAUGGUGUUGAACUCCCCUUGCUACCAGUGGGUGUUGCUAUUGGCAACCGUGCAGUGAAGCCAAUAAAAAGGCAAGAAAAUGAGACGAAAGCUCAACCCUAGUGGAAGCCGUAGGGUUUGUGCUAUAAAUUAUGUUCCCCUUAGCAACAUGUAGCAUCAACGCUCAGGGCGGCCGCAGUGUCGCGCUGCCUGCAGCCUCCGUCGGACCCCGGGUCUAGCUUUGUCAUAAAGCACAUAGCUCUAAAAUUUUGCUCCAGAUAGCCUGGCAUCCGUCUGUCGGGGCUAUUUAUUUAUUUAUUGUUGGGGAGGAUAACAGAUGUGGGUUCAUCUCUGCCUCACACGGACUGAUUUUCAAUUCCCGCUCGUGACAUAAACGUGAUGUGGCCCAACAGCCAGGAACACCUGCAGUGCUUCCGCGCCCGACCAGGGUCUGUCCCUAACUCCGCGGCGCUUUGUUCCUCACCUGAAGGACGCCAGACCGCGCCGCAGAAGCUAUUUUCCUUUAUAGCAGAGUGAUUCAGAAAACUGGCUUAAUAAAACCCAUAAAUCUGAACAACCUCCUCUUACCUGCUCUGCGGAUGGCAAUUUUCCCUGUACUCGUUUUCUCCCCCGGUUCCUCCCGCCUCCCCCGCAGAGGCAGCUGUGGAGGGGAGCCAGGAAACUUCUGGUUCGGGCUCCGCUCCCCCCUCCUCUCUCCUAAGCAGUUGGUGACAGGAUGCUGUAUCCUCAGGUGGGGGGUUAGAAGCGCCACUUUUCUUUGUUUGGAUUGACCCUUGACUUUGCCUUUGGCCGUCAUCCUACAGCCGCCUCAGUAUCUUUUCUUUUUUGGGUGUCUUUUGCUUCUCGUCCUCGUCUUCCUCUUUUUCUCCCCCUCUGCCUGGUUUGUAAUUUUCCUUCACUUGCUUUCUCGCCAUAUAGGCUCUUAGCCUUCCUUACCAAUACCUGCUCUUCCCUCACUUCGUCUUGGUACCUUCAUUUACCCAUUCCUUAAGCCCCUCCGGGGUGCCUACCGUGUGCCAGGGAAGCAGGGCUCUCUGUGGAACGUGGCCCCUGUUUCUUUAAUAUUUGAAUAGUCCAGGUAAGAACUGAUACUGACUGGUAACAACAAGAACAAAAAUGGCUUGCGAACUUUGGAUUUUGCAGAGCUGGAAUGGACUUCAAGGUUCCAGGGAUCUUCCAACUCCUCAGAGCCCCUUUCCAGACCACCAUGCAUGGAACCAACCAGAGGAGAAUUUAGAAGGGUUCUGGACCCGCCCCCCCAAGCUUGGCUUCAAACAGCGAAUUUUUAGCUUUUAGAUGUUUAUAUCUUGGACAUCCCUUGUAAGAUCUAUUUGCACAAAGAGUUCUAAGGUUCAAAUAUGUUUGAAAA